rnacentral:rRNA from 1 species
UCUGUGUUGGUGACAGGGCGAUGUGUAAUACGAAGGGUGCAACGGGUACUCGGAAUGGAUGGGCGGAAAGGGUGCGUAGGUGUGCUUGUAGUUCCGUUGUGAUAUCCCGGGGCUCAACCUGGGAAUGGCAGUGGAUACUGGAAGGCUAGAGUGCGGUAGAGGGUAGUGGAAUUGCCGGUGUAGCAGUGAAAUGCGUAGAGAUCGGGAGGAACACCAGUGGCUAAGGCGGCUACCUGGACCAGCACUGACACUGAGGCACGAAAGCGUGGGGAGCAAACAGGAUUAGAUACCCUGGUAGUC